CUCAGGAUGAACGCUAGCGGCGCGCUUAAUGCAUGUAAGUCGAGCGAUGAGGCCCUCUUCGGGGGGUACAUCAGCGGCAGACGGGUGAGUAGCACGUAGGUGAUCUACCCCAGAGACGGGGAUAACGGACGGAAACGUCCGCUAAUACCGGAUGACCUUGUCAGGUCAAAGCGACAAGGAAAGGCUCCGGCGCUCUGGGAGGAGCCUGCGGCCCAUCAGCUAGUUGGCGGGGUAAAGGCCCACCAAGGCGAAGACGGGUAGGGGGUGUGAGAGCAUGGCCCCCCACAAUGGGACUGAAACACGGCCCAUACUCCUACGGGAGGCAGCAGCAGGGAAUAUUGCACAAUGGACGGAAGUCUGAUGCAGCGACGCCGCGUGGAUGAUGAAGGCCCUCGGGUUGUAAAAUCCUUUACAAGGGGACGAGGAAGGACGGUACCCUUGGAACAAGUGUCGGCUAACUACGUGCCAGCAGCCGCGGUAAGACGUAGGACACAAGCGUUAUCCGGAUUUACUGGGCGUAAAGCGUCUGCAGGCGGACAGGUAAGUUGGGCGUGAAAGCUCCGGGCCCAACCCGGAGAGGUCGUUCAAUACUGCGUGUCUAGAGGGUGUCAGAGGGGAGUGGAAUUUCCGGAGUAGCGGUAAAAUGCGCAGAGAUCGGAAAGAACACCAAUGGCGAAGGCAGCUCCCUGGGGCAUACCUGACGCUAAGAGACGAAAGCUAGGGGAGCGAACAGGAUUAGAGACCCUGGUAGUCCUAGCCCUAAACGAUGGAUGCUGGAUGUGGGGCCAUAGCGCUCCGUGUCGAAGCGAACGCGUUAAGCAUCCCGCCUGGGGACUACGGCCGCAAGGUUAAACUCAAACGAAUUGACGGGAACCCGCACAAGCAGCGGAGCGUGUGGUUUAAUUCGAUGCUACACGAAGAACCUUACCUGGGGUUGGACUCUAGGUGGUAGCGAAG
rnacentral:rRNA from 1 species